rnacentral:rRNA from 1 species
CAGUCGCCGCGGUAAUACGUAGGGUGCAAGCGUUAAUCGGAAUUACUGGGCGUAAAGCGUGCGCAGGCGGUUUGUUAAGACAGAUGUGAAAUCCCCGGGCUUAACCUGGGAACUGCAUUUGUGACUGGCAAGCUAGAGUAUGGCAGAGGGGGGUGGAAUUCCGCGUGUAGCAGUGAAAUGCGUAGACAUGCGGAGGAACACCGAUGGCGAAGGCAGCCCCCUGGGCCAAUACUGACGCUCAUGCACGAAAGCGUGGGGAGCAGACAGGAUUAGAUACCCCUGUAGUCCCUGUCUCUUAUAC